rnacentral:lncRNA from 1 species
CGGGAAGGGACAAAAGCUGUGGACCAGAUGAAUGUAUCUGGAAUGAGUUUGUUUCACAAAAGCAUUGUUGUCAGCAUGAGGAACACAAUCACAGUUCGUCGCCAUGAGACAGUGGUGAUAAUGAGCGGCUGGUGGGCUGAUUCUUUUCCUGAGUUACGCCUGCUGAAUGGGGUCAGACUCAUUCCUGUCAUAGAAUCAUAGUUCUGGAAUGGACCUUGGAGGUGAGGUAGUCCAACCCACAGCACAAUGAAGGAUAUGAAAGUAGAGCAUCCCUGGCAGACACUGCCUCUGCUCAAAUACCUCCAAUGAAGGAGGAACUUCUACCUCCUGAGACAGGAAGAGCUCUUACAUUUCUGCUAACAUUUAGCAGAGAUCUGUUUAUCUGCAAUUUCCAUCUAUCGGUUCUUGUUUCUUAUCUGGAGCAAUUGUCUUCUCCAUCUUCUUCAUUCCAGCCCCUCACUGCUCUUAUGCUUGCAGAACCCGGCGUGGUAGAACAGUGGUAGUGCUUGGGGAAUAGACCCUAACAAAGGGACACGCCUGUGCCAGUGGAGCACUGCUGGUGUAAGGAGCAAAAAAUACAGAGGGAGGAAAGUGGCUUAGGCAGAACCCUGGUAUGCCAGCUGAUUCAGUGGCUCAAUUUGUAGAGGUCAGACACAUUUCUGACAGCACUGAAGCACUACAGCUCGAUCCAAAACAUAUUUAUAUGCCACUUUUCUGGGCAAAUCCCACCCAAAACAGCUUUUAAGUAAGGCUCCUGCCCUUAAUGUACUUACUUUGAUGUAUAUCUUCUGGAAAUCAUUUUUUUUACUUUCCUCUGAGUAAAUAUAUUUAGGAUUUGGGUGCAAACAUGAAAUAUUAAAAUGUUUCGGUUUGGGAAAGUGUAAUGUUUGAGAAAGAGCUCGCUCUCUCAGAAUCUGCUUUGCUGAUCCCUGCUGUAUCUUUUUCAGGUGGCUCCACUGAUGAGGCAGGGAAAUUACAGAGCAAGAGGCAAAACCAGAAGAUCCGAAAGAGAGAGAACAUGUUCAGAAAGAGAUGGGUUUACUGUGUGUGUGAAGUAGGGAGAACUAAGAUCUGAAGGACUGCAGGAGGAAUACAGAUAAGGAAGUUCCUUCACCUCUGUAUUAAAUUUCUUCCAUACUUAAGAUUCUGUUGCAUCACAAGAUUGCGGGGAGGAGUUACUCCCUUAUUAUUCUUUGGAGAAGCUCAGAACCAUCAGAUAAACUUCUUGUUUUCCUAUGAAAAUCUCAGUACUGUUGUAGCAGGAGCUAUAGUUCAAUGCGCACAGUUCCCUCUGGAAAUGCCUGUCAGGUCUUCAGUGAUUGGCAAACAGAGAUUAAACUGCCACAGUGCCUUUGUAUUUGGAGUUCUGGGGGGAAUGUGCACACAGAGAUAAUAAAGAAACAUGCUGUAGUGAGGAAUACAUAAUACCUGUAAAAUAUCUGGAGGGAAAAUUUGCUGCGCACAGUCCAGUUAAACACUUUUAAGCGCUGUGGAGAAAGGAGAAUUUACAUGACUGGCUGCUCCAAUAGGUCUCUGGUAGCUGCAUUCUAGACCACCUGAGAUUUCUGAACCGUCUUUUAAAGGUAGCCUACGUAGUCUAGUCUGGACAUGACCAGAUCAUGAAUCACUUUACCAAGGUGCCACUUUUCAGACAGAAGCACAUGUUUCCUAGACUUGGCGGUGGCGGUGGGGUGUUUGUUGGGAAG